UACGAAGGGUGCGAGCGUUACUCGGAAUUACUGGGCGUAAAGCGUGCGUAGGUGGUCUGUUAAGUCUGAUGUGAAAGCCCUGGGCUCAACCUGGGAAUGGCAUUGGAUACUGGCAGGCUAGAGUGCGGUAGAGGAUGGCGGAAUUCCCGGUGUAGCAGUGAAAUGCGUAGAGAUCGGGAGGAACAUCUGUGGCGAAGGCGGCCAUCUGGACCAGCACUGACACUGAGGCACGAAAGCGUGGGGAGCAAACAGG
rnacentral:rRNA from 1 species